UGUUUACACUGCGGGGGUUUUCUUUAAAGAGCACCUCGCGAUAAGGGUUUACGUUCUGAUGCGGGGAGUUUUCGCUGUGACAACUUGCUGAUCAGAUUGAAUAUGAUUCUGAACAUAUUUCCAUGGAAUUGCUUAUAAUUACGAAUAUUACUGUGCGCUACCAGGUGUAAAAUAAGGCGCUUCACUUCCUAGAUGAGUUUGCUUAAUCUUCUAAUACUGGAAAACAAUUGGAUAGGGAUAUUCAAGCUGGCUGCUAACUUGCUAGCUUAGCUGGAAAAUUAUUGAAAAUGCGGUCACACUUUUGUGUCUGGUUUGAUUGAAAAUCAGUAAAUCAUUGAUAGAAAAACGGCAGCUAACAAUAUGUUUAUUGCUUUUCAGUCAGCACAAUGAUAUUUUUGAGUGCUGGAACUCAUCUGUUAAAAAAAAAAGCAAAACUAGUAAGCUAGCAUAGUAAGAAGCCAUCGUGAGUAUUCUUAUUAUUAGAAAGCAUUCGCAAGAACACUUAAAUAAUAUAUAAAUAUAAAUUUAUCCAAUACCUCUAUAAAUGUCACAUUGAGCCAACCAGGAUCAGGGUUCAAAUUCUAGGAAAGCUUUUGGAUGUAUUGUUGUCUUAAACGAAGAGCAUAGUUGCCAGAGCUAUUUGAAAAGUUAGUGUGAUUUCGCCCAUCGAAGAACAAACUCACAUGAAUUAAAGGUGUGAUUUACCUGCCUUCUACAUGGCUAUUAAAUAAUUGAACCAGUGAAACGAGCUUUGGUGAAACAUACAGUAUUGUAGAAAAAGUCUACCAAUAGAAGACAAUUAGAGAUUCCUGCUUGUGCAUUUUUGGGAUAAUGGAGAGUUCUUCAACAAGGAGUUUCCUGUAAAAAGUGG